CCGAAGCUGCGGCAUCAGACGAAAGUCUGUUGGGUAGGGGAGCGUUGUGUAAGCGGAAGAAGGUGUGUUGAGAAGCAUGCUGGACGUAUCACAAGUGCGAAUGCUGACAUAAGUAACGAUAAAACGGGUGAAAAACCCGUUCGCCGGAAGACCAAGGGUUCCUGUCCAACGUUAAUCGGGGCAGGGUGAGUCGGCCCCUAAGGCGAGGCUGAAGAGCGUAGUCGAUGGGAAACAGGUUAAUAUUCCUGUACUU
rnacentral:rRNA from 1 species